ensembl:snRNA U1 U1 spliceosomal RNA
UGUCUUACAAAACAAGGCAGAUAUCAUGAUCACAAAGGUGGGUCACCCAGGGCGAGGCUCAGCCAUUGGACUCCAGUUGAGCUGAUUCUUGUGAAUUCCCCACAUGAGGGAAUCUCUACUGCAGAAUUUCUUCCUAACAGGCACCGGACUAGCUUCCUCCCCAC